AUUGAACGCUGGCGGCAUGCUUUACACAUGCAAGUCGAACGGUAACAGGCCGCAAGGUGCUGACGAGUGGCGAACGGGUGAGUAAUGCAUCGGAACGUGCCCAGUCGUGGGGGAUAACGCAGCGAAAGUUGCGCUAAUACCGCAUACGAUCUAUGGAUGAAAGCGGGGGACCGUAAGGCCUCGCGCGAUUGGAGCGGCCGAUGUCAGAUUAGGUAGUUGGUGGGGUAAAGGCUCUCCAAGCCGACGAUCUGUAGCUGGUCUGAGAGGACGACCAGCCAAACUGGGACUGGGACACGGCCCAGACUCCUACGGGAGGCAGCGGUGGGGAAUUUUGGACAAUGGGCGCAAGCCUGAUCCAGCAAUGCCGCGUGCAGGAAGAAGGCCUUCGGGUUGUAAACUGCUUUUGUACGGAACGAAACGGUCCUGGUUAAUACCCGGGGCUAAUGACGGUACCGUAAGAAUAAGCACCGGCUAACUACGUGCCAGCCGCCGCCGUAA
rnacentral:rRNA from 1 species